CAUACGCAGGAAUGUGGCAGUGUACAGGAUUGUUCAGCCUUGACGGACGUCCGAUAUAGAAGAAAAGCUUCUAGUUCCCUUCAUAAGGGAAACUCAAAGGAGAAAGAGCAUAAAGAAAGGAGCAGACCAGAUGUAAGGUUGAAUGCAAACAGAAACGGGCGUGGCCUUUUGUAUGACAUCAGGACCAAAGCUGGCAAGGAAGUCACUGUGUGGGAGGAAACCAGAUUGCCAGGAGGAAACCCACGCAGAGACGGGGAGAGCAUGCAAAGUCCACCCAGGCGGGGCAGGGAUUGAACCCGGGUCCUCAAAACUGUGAGGCCAACGCUUUACCAGCUGAACCACCGUGUCACCAAUGCAAAACACAUUUAUUUUAAUGUAUAUUGGGAAUUCUUUAUGUGUAAAUGAUGUUUGUGUGCCUUGCAUGACUGCAUGAGCCAAUAUUAGACAACCUAAUUAACUGUAAACAUAUUUUGUAACUAUCUGAGUUCACGUUGACGAUCACUAAAUGCCAUACGAAUGAAAAUGCACACUCACAUCAGUGGAUUCGUCCAACUGCAGUGAGAAACACUCACAAUCUCCGAUGUCCUUCCACACAUCAGCCAUGGCUUCACAGCGCCGUGUAACUGUAGUCCUUUACAAGUGCAGAGAUUUCAUUGAAGAUAAUAUUUCUGCCUUAUUUUUAAAAGAUCGUCAUGGAAGGACUUCUUGUUAUUAACGAUGAUGUGACAAACCCGGACACAAUGUUUUCAGUGGCGGCUUUUGCUGUUGAACUAGAUUGUGUGAAAAGUGACUGCUGUGCGGCCAUUUGGGAUUGUAGUUCGUUUAUUCUUCUCAUUCUCAGCUUGCUUUUCGGCUUGCCUUUUUUUUUUUUUCGGCAGGCCAUCGCGAUCGACCGAAACUGCCUUGCGAUCAACUGGUCGAUCGUGAGCA